rnacentral:rRNA from 1 species
GAACGAACGCUGGCGGCAUGCCUAACACAUGCAAGUCGAACGAGACCUUCGGGUCUAGUGGCGCACGGGUGCGUAACGCGUGGGAACCUGCCUUUAGGUUCGGAAUAACAGUGAGAAAUUACUGCUAAUACCGGAUGAUGUCUUCGGACCCAAAGAUUUAUCGCCUUUAGAUGGGCCCGCGUUGGAUUAGCUAGUUGGUGGGGUAAAGGCCUACCAAGGCGACGAUCCAUAGCUGGUCUGAGAGGAUGAUCAGCCACACUGGGACUGAGACACGGCCCAGACUCCUACGGGAGGCAGCAGUGGGGAAUUUUGGACAAUGGGGGCAACCCUGAUCCAGCAAUGCCGCGUGAGUGAAGAAGGCCUUCGGGUUGUAAAGCUCUUUUGUCAGGGAAGAAACAGCAGCUCUAACACAGUCUGCGAAUGACGGUACCUGAAGAAUAAGCACCGGCUAACUACGUG